AAUUCCUGCCCUAUGAUUAUUUAAAUGGCUGCAGUAUAUUGACUGUGCAAAGGUAGCAUAAUAAUUAGUUCUUUAAUUGUGAACUGGAAUGAAUGGAUUAAUGAGGAAUUUAUUUUAUUAUUUUUUGUAUUAAAAAUUAAUUUUUAAGUAAAAAAGCUUAAUUAUUUUUUUGGGACGAGAAGACCCUAUAGAACUUUAUUCUUAACUUUGAUUUUCUUUUUUAGUUUUCUAUAUUUUUUAAUAUUAAAGAAUUUUGUUGGGGUGACAAAUAAAAAUAGACUUUAUUUAAAUUUUUCAAUAGUUUUUGAUUUAUUGAUCCAUUUUUAUUGAUUAUAAGAUCAAGUUACCUUAGGGAUAACAGCGUAAUUUUAAUGGGGAGUUCUUAUUUAUAUUAAAGAUUGCGACCUCGAUGUUGAAUUAAGAUAAGAUUAAGGGGAAGGUUCUUUAAAAUCUAAGUC
rnacentral:rRNA from 1 species